GGACAACCCAGAUCUGGUACUCAAGGACAAUCCGACACUCCAGUGUCAGCUAAUGACAUGUGUGCCCUGGAUGAAUGGCCAUCCCAUGCUCGCCGCUAUCGUGCGCAACUACAGGAUGAAGCAGAUGGACAGAAGAAGAAGAAAGGGCGAGGUGUUGUAAAAGGUGUUAAAGCAGCUCAGAAGCGUUUUGCCAACGGAUCUGCGAAGCUAAAUAUUACAUUCUCUGAAACGUUGGGUGGUACGAUAGGAAUGAACUAUCGCUCAUUCAAGGAUGACGUGGUAGUGAUAAUGAAAAGGAAGGUACCACUCAUUGGGGUGAGGAGGUGGUCCGACAUUCACCCAAGUGUGCAUCGACU